UACGGAGGAUGCGAGCGUUAUCCGGAUUUAUUGGGUUUAAAGGGUGCGUAGGCGGGCUAUAUAAGUCAGCGGUGAAAGUUUUCGGCUCAACCGGAAAAUUGCCGUUGAAACUGUUAGUCUUGAGUGUGAACGAGGUAGGCGGAAUUCGUAGUGUAGCGGUGAAAUGCAUAGAUAUUACGAAGAACUCCAAUAGCGCAGGCAGCUUACCAGGCCACAACUGACGCUGAAGCACGAAAGUGUGGGUAUCAAA
rnacentral:rRNA from 1 species